UUGCUCUUCAACGAGGAAUGCCUAGUAGGUACGAGUCAUCAGCUCGUGCCGAUUACGUCCCUGCCCUUUGUACACACCGCCCGUCGCUACUACCGAUUGAAUGGCUCAGUGAGGCCUUCGGACUGGCUCAGGGAGGUUGGCAACGACCACCCAGAGCCGGAAAGUUGGUCAAACUCGGUCAUUUAGAGGAAGUAAAAGUCGUAACAAGGUUUCCGUAGGUGAACCUGCGGAAGGAUCAUUACCGAGUGCGGGAACCCAGUCGGGUCCCAAUCUCCCACCCGUGUCUACCACACCUAGUGUUGCUUUGGCGGGCCCACUCCUCCGGUGUUCCGCCGGGGGGGUCGUCCCGGGGCGCGGUGUGCCCCCGGGGCCCGUGCCCGCCAGAGGCACUCACUGUGAACGCUUUUGUGAAUGCGAGGAUUGUCUGAGUGACGAAAUGCAAUCGUUCAAAACUUUCAACAAUGGAUCUCUUGGGUCCGGCAUCGAUGAAGAACGCAGCGAAAUGCGAUAAGUAAUGUGAAUUGCAGAAUUCCGUGAAUCAUCGAAUCUUUGAACGCACAUUGCGCCCUCUGGUAUUCCGGGGGGCAUGCCUGUCCGAGCGUCAUUGCGAACCCUCAAGCACGGCUUGUGUGUUGGGCCGCCGUCCCCUCGUUUGGAGGGGACGGGCCUGAAAGGCAGCGGCGGCGUCGCGUCCGGUCCUCGAGCGUAUGGGGCUCUGUCACGCGCUCAAGGAGGGGUCCGGCCGGGGCCAUAGCCUCUGAAGGUCAAUUCUUCCAAGGUUGACCUCGGAUCAGGUAGGAGUACCCGCUGAACUUAAGCAUAUCAAUAAGCGGAGGA
rnacentral:rRNA from 1 species